UUCAGGUCCUCACGGCCCUCCGAGUCCCGACAGCCGCGCAGCGAACAGCGAGCCUCCGACAGAGGAUGGAGCAGAGAGUCGUCCUGGGUGGUGCUGAGGACGGAGGACAGAGAGAAGGGAGGUGGACCAUUUUUCCCGCCGCUUCAACAGACGAAUUCUUGUGUGUCUUCGCCGGGUGUUUUGUUAAGGCUGCUCCCUCCACCAUCAUCAUCAUCAUCAUCAUCAUCGCCACCACACAGGCAGCCUGAGGAAGAGGAGGAGAAAUUAACCUUCAGACACAGAUCUUUCAGACGCCACCGAGUCUUGUUCUUCAGGGUUCUCAGGCUCUGCUGGAGGUUCAGGUCAGAAGCUGUAAGCUGGAGGUCGCUGAUUGCUGUGUCCUCUGGUGUGCAGGUGCAGGUCCUGUUCUUCUUCG